rnacentral:tRNA from 1 species
UGGGAUGUCACUCAAUGAUAGAGCAUUUGCCUAACAUUUGCAAGGCCCUGGGUUUGAUUCCCAGCACUCCAA